CACGGAGGGUGCAAGCGUUAUUCGGAAUUAUUGGGCGUAAAGGGCGUGUAGGCGGUUAGGUAAGUCAGAUGUGAAAGCCCUUGGCUCAACCAAGGAAGUGCAUCUGAAACUAUUUAACUUGAGUACGAUAAAGGGAAGUGGAAUUCCCAGUGUAGAGGUGAAAUUCGUAGAUAUUGGGAGGAACACCUGUGGCGAAGGCGACUUCCUGGAUCGAUACUGACGCUGAGACGCGAAAGCGUGGGGAG
rnacentral:rRNA from 1 species